UUGCUUCCACAGCACAUACACUAACAUUGGAACGACACAGAGAAGAGUAGCAUGGCCCCUGUGCAAGGAUGGCGUGCAAAUUCAUGAAGUGUCCCAUAUUUUU